CUGGAAGGUCUCUUGUGAAAUGGACUGCUGAAGACAGUGUUUUUCUCGCGAGCAAAGUGAAGCCAAAACUCAACGUUCAUGAGACAUUCCGAAAUAAGAUGAUAAGCGUAAAAGAAAACUCGCCAUUGAAUCUGGUGUGCAAGGUGGAUGAAGGAAAUCCAUCACCAACCAUUCGGUGGAAAUACAGAAACGAGAAGCAUGGAUCCGGAUGGAGUGACGUUACUGCACGCCUCAGGACUGCCGUUAUUGUACGCAAAAACACAUUGCGCGUGAACGGGCAAAUGGUUUGCAGGAUGCUGUAUAAAUGUGUGGCAAACAACAGUCUCGGAGUUGAUGCAUUCACUUGGGAUGUUUUAAACGGAACAAACAGAGAAGAUAGCAUAGAAUGGAAAAAAAAAGCAAUUACACGAAGUUAUGAACGAUACUCUGGAGAAUGGUACACGUUCGAUUGUAGCGUGAAUAACCCUCACGUUAAUGUGACACUUUGGCAAACAACUCUUGAUGGUUCGAAAACAAAACGAAUCGUUGA